rnacentral:snRNA from 1 species
GUGCUCGCUUCGGCAGCACAUAUACUAAAACUGGAACGAUACAGAGAAGAUUAGUAUGGUCCCUGUGCAAGGAUGGCACGCAAAUUCAUGAAGCGUUCCAUAUUUUU